rnacentral:rRNA from 1 species
UCCGGUUGAUCCUGCCAGAGGUUACUGCUAUCGGUGUUCGCCUAAGCCAUGCGAGUCAUAUGUUCUUCGUGAACAUGGCGUACUGCUCAGUAACACGUGGAUAACCUGCCCUUGGGUCCGGCAUAACCCCGGGAAACUGGGGAUAAUUCCGGAUAACGCACAUAUGCUGGAAUGCUUUAUGCGUAAAAUGGAUUCGUCUGCCCAAGGAUGGGUCUGCGGCCUAUCAGGUAGUAGUGGGUGUAAUGUACCUACUAGCCUACAACGGGUACGGGUUGUGAGAGCAAGAGCCCGGAGAUGGAUUCUGAGACAUGAAUCCAGGCCCUACGGGGCGCAGCAGGCGCGAAAACUUUACAAUGCGGGAAACCGUGAUAAGGGGACACCGAGUGCUAGCAUCAUAUGCUGGCUGUCCAGGUGUGUAAAAUACACCUGUUAGCAAGGGCCGGGCAAGACCGGUGCCAGCCGCCGCGGUAACACCGGCGGCCCGAGUGGUGAUCGUGAUUAUUGGGUCUAAAGGGUCCGUAGCCGGUUUGGUCAGUCCUCCGGGAAAUCUGACAGCUCAACUGUUAGGCUUUCGGGGGAUACUGCCAGACUUGGAACCGGGAGAGGUAAGAGGUACUACAGGGGUAGGAGUGAAAUCUUGUAAUCCCUGUGGGACCACCUGUGGCGAAGGCGUCUUUACCAGAACGGGUUCGACGGUGAGGGACGAAAGCUGGGGGCACGAACCGGAUUAGAUACCCGGGUAGUCCC